AGAGAUUGGCCGACGCCGCAGAGAACUUCCAGAAAGCCCACCGCUGGCAGGACAACAUCAAGGAGGAAGAUAUCCUGUACUACGAUGCGAAGGCCGACGCUGAGCUGGAUGACCCUGAGAGUGAGGAUGUGGAGAGGGGGUCCAAGGUCAGCACCCUCAGGCUGGACUUCGUUGAGGACUCAAACUUCAAGAACAAAGUCAACUAUUCGUACACGGCCGUGCAGAUCCCCACGGACAUCUACAAAGGCUCCACUGUCAUCCUUAAUGAACUCAACUGGACAGAGGCCCUGGAGAAUGUGUUCAUCGAGAAUCGCAGGCAGGACCCCACGCUGCUGUGGCAGGUCUUUGGAAGUGCCACGGGCGUCACUCGCUACUAUCCCGCCACCCCAUGGCGAGCCCCCAAGAAAAUCGACCUGUACGAUGUCCGAAGGAGACCCUGGU